CAUGAAGAGGGCCGACAGGAAGAGUAAGGCACCACAGAGGAGGAAGCCGCCCCACCAUGCCCCGAUCCAGCGAGGGUCAUCUGGGGUGAUGUCCAGCUUACCUGGACGGGAGGAAGAGGAAGUUACCACAAUGAAUGAAUGAUGAAUGAUGUUUUGAGGUGCACCAGUGCAACCACUGUAAAAGGUUAGUGGAGCCCUUGAGUACAGUACGUACUGAUCUGAAGAAAUGCAAAGACAAAAGCAUCUGCAAACUCACUGGUGUCGAUGAAGACAGCAUCAACGUAGACUUUGGUACAGACAGAACCUAAGAUGAAGCCACAGGCCGGGCCGAACACUAAUGUUGAAAAUAAUAUACCUGUAAGACAGACAGAGAGAGAAAAGAGAGCAACAUGAGCAGUUUGUUAAAAUGGUAGCAGCAACAGCAAAAGCUCAGCAAUCCUGUCAUAAAAGUGUCAUUUACUUUUGAUUGAUUAAAAUUCUAGCAACAGUCCUUUAACCUGAAGUCUCAGCUUUCAGCAGAGGGCAGCAUUGCAUCAAAACUAUAAAAAUUACAAAAUUAAAAA